AUCUUGCACACUAUUUUCCCCCUAGCACGGGGAUUGAACCCAAGGCCCUGCAUCGGGAGCGCUGGGCCACUCCGACCCUCCUCCACUUCUCUGAAGCCUGAUUUUGACUUGGGUCUUCCUAAGUUGGCCUCAAACCCAUGAUCCUCUAGCCUCAGCUUCUCAAUCAGCUGGGAUUUCUGAUGUGUGCCACCACCCUUGGUCCUUACACACUGUUUUGCUAAUACUUAUCAUGGGCUAGGUUUUCUCAGCAAAUCCACACAGAUGGUGGGUUCAUCCCACUGUGCGUCAGUGCAGACGCCGUCUCAGCUCCCAUGAGAGGGUGGAAGCAGCCUCUGGCUUGCUUGCCAUUUCAGAGACAGGUGCUGGACGCUGUGAACAUGUCAGUGCGCUUUUCCUCAGCACCGCAGGGAUCCCGCUCCGCCUGCUGGGUAUAUAGGUCCCCAACCCUUCACACUGACCACUUUUCCGGAGAAACAGAAACAGCCAACAUAGAUGAGCACCUGCUUUGGCCAGAGCCCCAAGGACGACUCACGCUUUGACCAGAGUGUAGUCAGCUUACGGAAUGACUCGAGUCUGACCGAGUGCAAACAGAGAGAAGUUCGUUCCUUCUCCCACCGCCUCUUCAGAACUUUCCCUGUUUCCCGGGGAAAUCACAGGCCUUUGUGUGGCUCCUGGCUGCAGUCCCUUCCCUAGGAGAUGAGCUCUGUCCUGCUGCCUGUCAGGCUACCAGCACCCGGCCUGUGGCUUCCACCCAGCUGGCUCUCUGUUAUUGGUCACAAUCCCCUCUGGGUGCCCGUGAGGUGGAGGCCCCCCCAUGUGGCCACAGGUUCCAUGCCUUUAUCCUGCUAUUAGAAGAAACCCGGGACAUAUGACAAACUUGGGUGGCUCUCCAGAAGUCCCUUCUCUUAUGUGACCACAGCGAGCUUUUCCCCGAAGAGUCUCAUGAGGGCUCUCUGCCGCCAAGGGGUCGCAUUUAAUGGCCCAAGUGCCUUCAUGGUGGGCCAGUGCUGGGACUGGCUCUACAGUCUCAGUGUGCAGUCCUACAAAUCUGUUCCCCAUCUUGCUUUAGGAUGUGGUGCCUCAUGAUUGGUUCUAGGUCCUUAGGCUCCCCGAACCCAAGAAAGUUCUGUUUAAGUCUGACUGUUAAGUAAGCCAUGAGUCUCGCUAUCAGAUCUGCAAAUGACAAGUACAAGUGAAAAUGGGGGGCCCCUUGUUCGAAACUUCUUAAGAAAUUUAUGUGGCCACACUGGAGGAUGAGCCAAGCACCACUGGAGAAGAGCCUCAUGCGAUCUGUGCGUUAUGUGUGUCCUGAGGUCUAAUAGCAGGAAAAUUAAGGUCACAUAUGCUGUGGUUGUAUGAAUACUCACUCUAGGUUUAAUUAAACAACAUACCCCAAUCCA